AUGUAUAAAAGUCUUAAUAGAGUAUUUUAAAAGUUACAUAAACAGGUGGUGCAUGGCUGUCGUCAGCUCGUGUCGUGAGGUGUUGGGUUAAGUCCCGCAACGAGCGCAACUCUUGUUCGGAGUUAUAUAAUAAAUAUUCUUCGAAAACUGCCUAAACAUAAUAUUGUAGGAGGAAGGCGAGAACGACGUCAAGUCAUUAUGCCCCUUAUGCUCUGGGCUACACACGUGCUACAAUGGAAGGUACAAUAAAUAAAACUAAGCUCUUUUCGUAAGAAAAGAUUAAAUAUAAACCCUUUCUUAGUUCGGAUCGUAGACUGCAACUCGUUUACGUGAAGUUGGAAUCGCUAGUAAUCGCCGGUCAGACAUACGGCGGUGAAUAUGUUCUCGAGCCUUGUACACACCGCCCGUCACGCCACGGAAAUGAAUUGGUCUGGAAAUUUCUGUUAAGAUAUGAUAGAAAAAUUGAUAACUGGGGCGAAGUCGUAACAAGGUAGCCGUAG
rnacentral:rRNA from 1 species